CCUACGGGUGGCAGCAGUGGGGAAUAUUGGACAAUGGGCGAAAGCCUGAUCCAGCCAUGCCGCGUGUGUGAAGAAGGCCUUCGGGUUGUAAAGCACUUUCAGUGGGGAAGAAAGCCUUGGGGCUAAUACCCUCGAGGAAGGACAUCACCCACAGAAGAAGCACCGGCUAACUCCGUGCCAGCAGCCGCGGUAAUACGGAGGGUGCGAGUGUUAAUCGGAAUUACUGGGCGUAAAGCGCGCGUAGGCGGUCUGAUAAGCCGGUUGUGAAAGCCCCGGGCUCAACCUGGGAACGGCAUCCGGAACUGUCAGGCUAGAGUGCAGGAGAGGAAGGUAGAAUUCCCGGUGUAGCGGUGAAAUGCGUAGAGAUCGGGAGGAAUACCAGUGGCGAAGGCGGCCUUCUGGACUGACACUGACGCUGAGGUGCGAAAGCGUGGGUAGCAAACAGGAUUAGAUACCCUAGUAGUC
rnacentral:rRNA from 1 species